rnacentral:rRNA from 1 species
CCUACGGGGGGCAGCAGUGGGGAAUCUUGCGCAAUGGGCGAAAGCCUGACGCAGCGACGCCGCGUGGGUGAUGAAGGCCUUCGGGUUGUAAAGCCCUGUGGGGCGAGAAGAAUAAGCCUGGGUGAAUAACCCAGGUGAUGACGGUAUCGCCUUAGCAAGCACCGGCUAACUCUGUGCCAGCAGCCGCGGUAAGACAGAGGGUGCAAACGUUGUUCGGAAUCACUGGGCGUAAAGCGUGUGUAGGUGGUGCGAAAAGCCAGGCGUGAAAGCCCGGGGCUCAACCCCGGAAGUGCGCUUGGAACUGUCGCGCUAGAGUCUUGGAGAGGUUCGCGGAAUUCCAGGUGUAGAGGUGAAAUUCGUAGAUAUCUGGAAGAACACCAGCGGCGAAGGCGGCGAACUGGACAAAGACUGACACUGAGACACGAAAGCGUGGGGAGCAAACAGGAUUAGAUACCCCUGUAGUC